rnacentral:rRNA from 1 species
UACGGGAGGCAGCAGUGGGGAAUAUUGCACAAUGGGCGCAAGCCUGAUGCAGCCAUGCCGCGUGUAUGAAGAAGGCCUUCGGGUUGUAAAGUACUUUCAGUCGUGAGGAAGGUGUUAAGGUUAAUAACCUUAGCAAUUGACGUUAGCGACAGAAGAAGCACCGGCUAACUCCGUGCCAGCAGCCGCGGUAAUACGGAGGGUGCUAGCGUUAAUCAGAAUUACUGGGCGUAAAGAGCACGUAGGUGGUUUUUUUAAGUCAGAUGUGAAAUCCCCGGGCUUAACCUGGGAAUGGCAUUCAAGACUGGUUAGCUAGAGUCUUGUAGAGGGGGUAGAAUUCCAUGUGUAGCGGUGAAAUGCGUAGAGAUGUGGAGGAAUACCGGUGGCGAAGGCGGCCCCUGGGACAAAGACUGACGCUCAUGUGCGAAAGCGUGGGGAGCAAACAGGGAUUAGAUACC